UACGAAGGGGGCUAGCGUUGCUCGGAAUCACUGGGCGUAAAGCGCACGUAGGCGGAUCGUUAAGUCAGGGGUGAAAUCCCGGAGCUCAACUUCGGAACUGCCCUUGAUACAGCACGUCUCGAGUCCGAGAGAGGUGAGUGGAAUUCCUAGUGUAGAGGUGAAAUUCGUAGAUAUUAGGAAGAACACCAGUGGCGAAGGCGGCUCACUGGCUCGGUACUGACGCUGAGGUGCGAAAGCGUGGGGAGCAAACAGG
rnacentral:rRNA from 1 species